rnacentral:rRNA from 1 species
AAAUUGAAGAGUUUGAUCAUGGCUCAGAUUGAACGCUGGCGGCAGGCCUAACACAUGCAAGUCGAACGGUAACAGGAAGCAGCUUGCUGCUUUGCUGACGAGUGGCGGACGGGUGAGUAAUGUCUGGGAAACUGCCUGAUGGAGGGGGAUAACUACUGGAAACGGUGGCUAAUACCGCAUAACGUCGCAAGACCAAAGAGGGGGACCUUCGGGCCUCUUGCCAUCAGAUGUGCCCAGAUGGGAUUAGCUUGUUGGUGAGGUAACGGCUCACCAAGGCGACGAUCCCUAGCUGGUCUGAGAGGAUGACCAGCCACACUGGAACUGAGACACGGUCCAGACUCCUACGGGAGGCAGCAGUGGGGAAUAUUGCACAAUGGGCGCAAGCCUGAUGCAGCCAUGCCGCGUGUAUGAAGAAGGCCUUCGGGUUGUAAAGUACUUUCAGCGGGGAGGAAGGUGUUGUGGUUAAUAACCACAGCAAUUGACGUUACCCGCAGAAGAAGCACCGGCUAACUCCGUGCCAGCAGCCGCGGUAAUACGGAGGGUGCAAGCGUUAAUCGGAAUUACUGGGCGUAAAGCGCACGCAGGCGGUCUGUCAAGUCGGAUGUGAAAUCCCCGGGCUCAACCUGGGAACUGCAUUCGAAACUGGCAGGCUUGAGUCUUGUAGAGGGGGGUAGAAUUCCAGGUGUAGCGGUGAAAUGCGUAGAGAUCUGGAGGAAUACCGGUGGCGAAGGCGGCCCCCUGGACAAAGACUGACGCUCAGGUGCGAAAGCGUGGGGAGCAAACAGGAUUAGAUACCCUGGUAGUCCACGCCGUAAACGAUGUCUACUUGGAGGUUGUGCCCUUGAGGCGUGGCUUCCGGAGCUAACGCGUUAAGUAGACCGCCUGGGGAGUACGGCCGCAAGGUUAAAACUCAAAUGAAUUGACGGGGGCCCGCACAAGCGGUGGAGCAUGUGGUUUAAUUCGAUGCAACGCGAAGAACCUUACCUGGUCUUGACAUCCACGGAAGUUUUCAGAGAUGAGAAUGUGCCUUCGGGAACCGUGAGACAGGUGCUGCAUGGCUGUCGUCAGCUCGUGUUGUGAAAUGUUGGGUUAAGUCCCGCAACGAGCGCAACCCUUAUCCUUUGUUGCCAGCGAUUCGGUCGGGAACUCAAAGGAGACUGCCAGUGAUAAACUGGAGGAAGGUGGGGAUGACGUCAAGUCAUCAUGGCCCUUACGACCAGGGCUACACACGUGCUACAAUGGCGCAUACAAAGAGAAGCGACCUCGCGAGAGCAAGCGGACCUCAUAAAGUGCGUCGUAGUCCGGAUUGGAGUCUGCAACUCGACUCCAUGAAGUCGGAAUCGCUAGUAAUCGUGGAUCAGAAUGCCACGGUGAAUACGUUCCCGGGCCUUGUACACACCGCCCGUCACACCAUGGGAGUGGGUUGCAAAAGAAGUAGGUAGCUUAACCUUCGGGAGGGCGCUUACCACUUUGUGAUUCAUGACUGGGGUGAAGUCGUAACAAGGUAACCGUAGGGAACCUGCGGUUGGAUCACCUCCUUACCUUAAAGAA